ACGGGGUGCAGCAGGCGCGAAAACUCCGCAAUGCGCGCAAGCGUGACGGGGGAAUCCCAAGUGCCGUUGGUCUUAUGAUCGACGGUUUUUAGGAAGUCUAAGAAGCUUCCAGAAUAAGGGCUGGGCAAGACUGGUGCCAGCCGCCGCGGUAACACCAGCAGCCCAAGUGGUGACCACGAUUAUUGGGCCUAAAGCGCUCGUAGCCGGAUCAGCAAGUCCCUUGUGAAAUCGGGCCGCCUAACGGUUCGGCGUGCAAGGGAUACUGUUGGUCUUGAGGCCGGGAGAGGUCGGAGGUACUCCUGGGGUAGCGGUGAAAUGCUCUAAUCCUAGGGGGACCACCAGUGGCGAAGGCGUCCGACCAGAACGGACCUGACGGUGAGGGGCGAAGGCUAGGGGAGCGAACGGGAUUAGAUACCCCGGUAGUCCUCGCUGUAAAGCAUGCGGGCCAGGUGUCUAGCGCUCCUUGAGGGCGCUAGGUGCCGGAGGGAAGCCGUUAAGCCCGCCGCCUGGGAAGUACGGCCGCAAGGCUGAAACUUAAAGAAAUUGGCGGGGGAGCACCACAAGAGGUGGGACCUGCGGUUCAAUUGGAUUCAACGCCGGANAACUCACCAGGGGCGACAGCUGGUUGACGGCCAGAUUGACGAUCUUGCCC
rnacentral:rRNA from 1 species